CUGCCCUGUGACCCACAACCUCCCAGUGCGUCUGCCUACUGGAUACAGACAAGAGUUCAUUUUUGGAGUUGGUUUGGAUCUUGAGUUUCAGUCCACAGAACUUUUUUCCCAUGGUUUGAGCAACACCCAGAGUUUGUAGCGUCCUGUGGGUGAAAAACAGACUCUCAAGGGAUGCAACGUCUUGGAGCUACAAAGGAGCGCUUUCCACGUUGUCAAUCUGUGAGUGAGCUGCUCUGGUAUAAGGGCUUAAGUGGAUCUUGGGAAGAGUACAGAAGUGGCAGUUCCGUUCAAUGAAGGACACUACACUGUUGAUGAAAUAUCAUUACUCCUUUACUCCUUCUCUUCACAUCUUUCCAGUCAUUUUCAUCACGACUUUUGCUGAUUUUGUGCCUGGAUGGGAUUGGUGGCUAUUAUAAGCAGAAGCUGUCGCCUGUAUAGAUACAGAUGUGCGCGAUGCAGGCGCCAAACGUGAGCAUUCAGGAUCCAGGCACUGACGCCAGUUGGGAGCAGGAGCUGCCAAAGCUUCAGAUUUGAGCAGCUGGAAGGAGCUGUCAAAAAGUCACUGCUGUCAACUACCCAUGGAAAAAUGCCCGCUCCCAUCAGAGCAUCCCCACCGCAGCUGGUCAGAGCCAGCUGACACCGAAGAUGUCGUCUUCAAAAAGGAUGGUUUGAGAAGGAAGCUGAGGAGCUCAGACGUCAAGAAAAGCCACCGUGGUGGGAAUUUAGGUAAGAAGGUUAGUAAUGAAAGGAAGAAUUUAAAGAUUCUGAUUCUUGAAGAAAAUGCAAUUCUCAUCAGAUCUGAAGCUAGCCUCGCUGCGAGUUGGUUGAGGCCAAAAAGUUUCACCUCAAGUCAUUACACCUGAAGGCAUCCUUGCUCAGCAAAUUACCUGAAAGCCUGCUCAAUUUUGAGUACGUACCUAAAUCCCAAUGCUUAGGAUUCAUCUUGAUAAUGUGAGGUCAUUAGGUUAAUAUAAGGGAGAGGUCAAUUAGCAGAGAAAUAGGACAGUCUUUUCUUUACACACAGGAUGGUAAAUAUGUUGAAUUCAGCUAGAGGAAAACAAAAAAAAUCACGGUGAAAAGGAGAAGUUCAAAUGAGGUAGGUGGACCUACACGGGCAUUCUCGCUUCCUUCCUUCCCACAGCUUCCUCUGUUCCUAUAAUCUCAGCACAGAUGUUUCCUUUUUAAUCCCUGGCUCCAGCUGGCAGUGCAUCUCUGCUCUACCGUACUUAGUCGCAAUUACUGUAGACAUUAACUCUGCACAUGCUUCGGAAAUUGACUUCUUUUUCUUCCUUGGAAAUGUUGCUCAUCAUCAGGUUUUUAACAGCCAGAAAUAAAGGCCAUUUGUGUACUGAUGAAUCCUAUUCCCUUCAAGAUUUGUAAGAGAGAUAAAAAGGAUGAGAACCAAGCUUAAAACAAUUGCUGGCAUCACGGAAAACUUGAAUACUUAAUUUGUAAUACCUUCC
ensembl:lncRNA